rnacentral:rRNA from 1 species
CGCGUAGGCGGUUUACACAGUCAGAUGUGAAAUUCCAGGGCUUAACCUUGGGGCUGCAUUUGAUACGUGUAGACUAGAGUGUGAGAGAGGGUUGUGGAAUUCCCAGUGUAGAGGUGAAAUUCGUAGAUAUUGGGAAGAACACCGGUGGCGAAGGCGACUUACUGGACAGAUACUGACGCUGAGGCUCGAAAGCGUGGGGAGCAAACAGGAUUAGAUACCCCCGUA